rnacentral:rRNA from 1 species
GUGGGGAAUCUUCCGCAAUGGACGAAAGUCUGACGGAGCAACGCCGCGUGAACGAUGACGGCCUUCGGGUUGUAAAGUUCUGUUAUACGGGACGAAUGGUACGACGGUCAAUACCCGUCGUAAGUGACGGUACCGUAAGAGAAAGCCACGGCUAACUACGUGCCAGCAGCCGCGGUAAUACGUGGGUGGCAAGCGUUGUCCGGAAUUAUUGGGCGUAAAGGGCGCGCAGGCGGCGUCGUAAGUCGGUCUUAAAAGUGCGGGGCUUAACCGCGUGAGGGGACCUAAACUGCGAUGCUAGAGUAUCGGAGAGGAAAGCGGAAUUCCUAGUGUAGCGGUGAAAUGCGUAGAUAUUAGGAGGAACACCAGUGGCGAAAGCGGCUUUCUGGACGACAACUGACGCUGAGGCGCGAAAGCCAGGGGAGCAAACGGGAUUAGAAACCCUGGUAGUCC